AUUGAACGCUGGCGGCAUGCUUUACACAUGCAAGUCGAACGGUAACAGGCCGCAAGGUGCUGACGAGUGGCGAACGGGUGAGUAAUGCAUCGGAACGUGCCCAGUCGUGGGGGAUAACGCAGCGAAAGCUGCGCUAAUACCGCAUACGAUCUAUGGAUGAAAGCGGGGGACCGUAAGGCCUCGCGCGAUUGGAGCGGCCGAUGGCAGGUUAGGUAGUUGGUGGGGUAAAGGCCCACCAAGCCAACGAUCUGUAGCUGGUCUGAGAGGACGACCAGCCAAACUGGGACUGAGGCACGGCCCAGACUCUUAUGGGAGGCAGCAGUGGGGAAUUUUGGACAAUGGGCGCAAGCCUGAUCCAGCAAUGCAGCGUGCAGGAAGAAGGCCUUCGGGUUGUAAACUGCUUUUGUACGGAACGAAGCGGUCCUGGUUAAUACCUGGGGCUAAUGACGGUACCGUAAGAAUAAGCACCGGCUAACUACGUGCCAGCCGCCGCGGUAAAAC
rnacentral:rRNA from 1 species